AGUGCAGGGGGCUGAUGCCACUACGUUUGACGCGGGUGCGGCUGGUCACAGGGAUCAGCAUGGAGACAAUCCUGCCAGCAGGAGACGUAUGUGCUUCAGCCAGCUCUUCACAUCUGAGUUAAAGAGGCACUGCAUCAUUUCAGUCUGCAAGGGGAACCUGAACCUCCCUGCAGGGGUGCCACACUCAGGCUCCACAUCCAAAUGCUGGAGUGUUCUAGAGCCUUUCCUAUCUCUCUGUAGGAAGAAUGCAGCUCAAGUGAAGGCAGCCAAGACCAGAGAAGUCAGACUACAGCCCAUGUCUGUCACAGGGCUGAGCUUCAUGUACCAUUUUGAAAUGGUGCCAAGUUUCUCCUUAUCCCUGACUCCUGCUUCUGUGAUUUCUAUUUAUUAGAAAUUAAAUGGAGCAGGAGGCAGAGCAUGCUUAGUAGGAGUGUGCCAAGAGUUUACUGAUUUCUAUUUACUUAAUAAAUCUGCUCACACUUCAAAAAGUCUUCCCUUCUCAGCAUCUCAGUUCCGAGGGGGAAAGAGUUAAAUGACUGCUUGCAAUUGUUCUACAGCUCAUGAGAUGACCUUUAUGAAUUUCUGGUCAGUAUUGACAAGGUGUCAUUUAAAAUAAACAAACACCAAGCAACAAGAGUUGACAGUUGAGCCCUGGGACCACAUUCUUUGCUUUUUGAUGGUAAGGAGCCUUCAUGCUCUGGCAAAAAGUUGAAGUGUGGAAUUCCUGCAGAAUUACGUACUAAAUCUGCAGGAAUACAGAGGUCACCGUGAAGGGUGUUAUUUUACUGAAUACCAAAGGAAUUAAGAAUGAUCAGCCAAUUGGACUAAAGCUUUGUCAUUUAGAUAAAUAUUUAUAAGAGAAUAUCUCUUUCUUUUGUCUUUCUCUUGCACUUAGUU